rnacentral:tRNA from 1 species
GCGUGUCGCAACUGCAGGAAUGGCGCUGGAUUCAAAAUCCAGUUCCGAGAGGAGUGCCGGUUCGACCCCGGCCACCCGCACCA